UAUCGUGAACACUAUCCAUUUGGGGAAUGCUUCUCUCCAUUCCUCUUCAUAUGUGAGGAACCUCAAGAACUGAAAACAAAGUUCCCAAUGAAGGGGCAGCACAAAAUCUUCAAAAUGGACUCGAGGCUGCACCAUGCAGCAAGAAGACGUUGCUCUGUCCUCAGAUCUUGACAAGCUGACCAGUUUUUCCACUGUAGAAAAGAAAAGGUCUUUUUUUUUAACGCAGAAAAUAAAU